rnacentral:rRNA from 1 species
GUGCCAGCCGCCGCGGUAAUACAGAGGGGGCAAGCGUUAUUCGGAAUUAUUGGGCGUAAAGGGCGCGUAGGUGGCUUGGCAAGUGGAAGGUGAAAUCCCUCGGCUCAACUGAGGAACUGCCUUCCAGACUGCUUUGCUUGAGGCCGGGAGAGGCGAGUGGAAUUCCCAGUGUAGCGGUGAAAUGCGUAGAUAUUGGGAGGAACACCAGUGGCGAAGGCGACUCGCUGGACCGGUUCUGACGCUGAGGCGCGAAAGCGUGGGGAGCAAACAGGAUUAGAUACCCUUGUAGUCC